GGCGGCGCAGUGCGGAAGGACGCGGGACGGAGGAAGCGGAUCCCGCCGGCUCCGCGGCCCCGGGCGGGGCGGGCGGACGAUUAAAGAAGUUCAUCUCCCCCCACCUGAUGUGCCACAGACCCUUCACCACCUCCAUCACCCUGCAUUGGAUUUUCCAGUUUUUUUCACAGGUAUCUCCCAGGAGAGGGGUUGGACAUCUACCAGAAGAUAUCAAAAAGUCAGAGUUGUCUGGGCUAAGUCACCUGACUGACUAUUCCCAGCUGGGAGACACCAAACUGGGGGGUAUUUGCUAUUUAAAGCAGACGAAUGCUAACAGGGAUAUUGGGAUUCACUGUGUCACCUCAUCCACUGAAACGGCAAAGCAGAAUAUUUACUGAUCUGGUCAAAAAGUGUCUCACCAUGACAGGAAUGAAAACAGCAAUAAAAUACUUUUAUCAGCAAUUCUGAUUCCAGUGCCUGAUAGUGCAAAUAUCCCAGGCAGAGGAGAACAUGGGAUUUGUCUUUCAGAUUCCUGGGAAAAAAAAAAAAAAACAAGUUAAGAUCCUGGAAAGAUCUAAAGAUCUAAGAGUGUUUCUAUCUCGACCCUGAUAUUUUUUAUCAGAACAUGCAAAAUAUUUAAUGCAGAUUCUCCUUGGCUGUGCCAUUGCUUUUACAGGCUUUUUAUUGCUUAUAAACCAAAUCAUGUCAUCGCUGAUACUUUCUCUGACCCUUUAGUUAAAAUGUUACCCCAAGGACAAUCAUAUCUUUCUGUGCUCAGUUUUUGCUGAGUACUCCAGGAUCCUUGGAUUUGCAUGGGGUGGGAGCAGAGGCCCACCCAGGGAUAAGACCAACUCCAUCAACACUGCCUGCAAUCAUUCUGCAUUUUUGCCACGAAAAGCAUUGACAUUUCCUCCAAAAAAGCUUCAUUUGAAAUUAGCAAAAACUUCUGUUCUCGUCUUUCCUAGGUGGGGGGAAGUCAGAAAUUCACUGAUAUUAAACAGACAAAAAGAAGGGUGACUGAGCACUGGAAUGGACUGCUCAGGCUGUGGAGUCUCCAUCCUUGGACACAUCCAAAAGUCAUCUGGAAAUGGUCCUGGGCACUCAGGUCCCAGGGAGGUGGGACUGGAUGACCACCAGCAUCCCUUUCAACCUCAACCACUCCAGGAUUCUGUGAAGAAAUGGGUUUGAGCCGUCAUAUUUUUGUACAUUUGAAAGGAAGAAAAUUUUUUUGCUGCAAAAACAACUUCUUUUCCUGCUCACCUCAAAUGCUGUCUGGAUUUAUCCCUUUAUGGAAAAUCAAAAAAAAAAAAAGGGGGAGGAAAAAGCAAGGGUUAACAAACGCUCUGAAAUACAGGAAGAAUAUGGGCAAACCAGGACGUGAUAAUCGCUGGAUGGGUGGGAAGACACAGGUUAAUGGGAACAGAAGCAGAUAAACACACCAUUUCUGGAUAGAAGGGAUACAGGAGAGGGACUAGACGGUAAUGUGGGUGGGAAUUGGAAAGAAAUGAUGGGAUUAGUAUUUUAACAGGAUCUAAAGCUGGUUGGUUGAGAACACUGGUGGCUAGCCUGCCCACCCUAACCCUAACCCCUAACCUUAACUUCUGCCCUCCUCCAUUGCCACUGCUCUACCACUAUUGUCUCCAUCCUAGGAAGCACCACGGUGAGAUUGCACUGCAAGCAGGAGGUCGAGGUCAAGGUCAUGCUCAGGCAGGCUGGAGAACACCUUUCUGAGGAGAGAGGUCUUACCACAAUGCAAUUUUGCAUUCUUUCCCAAACUGCAUUUGUGGCCUGUCACCAUCUUUGGAAGGACAGCUUGACUCGCAUGCCCUUGCUGCCCUCUUGAGUGUAUCUGUAGGUACUUCUGGCCAUGACUGCCAUUUUGAGUGUGGCAUGAUGCAAUUUCUGGUAAACACUUGCCAUCUUGAGAGUGGCACUAUGAGUUUGUUCCAGGUCCACCAUCUUGAGUGUUAUGGCACAUGGCUUCCUGUCACAGUCGCCAUCUUGAGAGUGGACUGAUGCCAAUUCUUGGCUCCUCUACUGUCUUGAGCAUAUUGCCACGUGACUUGCUGCAGCCCAAACCCAAUGGCACUUGGCAACAACCCUGCUCCUCCUUUGGCUCACUGCAACCCUCGUCCGCCACUGUCACUGCAACUGGGUCCUGCGCUUGGUGCUCCUGCAUGCUCCAGGGCCAGCAGGAGGCUGCGGCAGGCAUAGAAAGCGCCACAGUAACACUCCGAAAGAUCACUGUGCGUGCCCACAUUUUUUAGUUGCAGUACUUGUUUUUAGCUGCAGGUGGCAUCAGCAAGUCGUUUAAGUCAUGGUACAUAUGCCCGUUUGUCGUGGGUUGACACUGGUUAGGCACCAGCACCACAAAAAACCUAUUCACUUACUUGCCCCUACUGUAGCUAAGCAGAGAAGGGGAAAUUGAAACUUCAUUUUUAUGAGGUGAAAUAAGGAUUAUUGAGGAAAACGGAAAACCUUCAAGGC